ACAGGCAACAAAAUGGACAAAGACAAGAACAGCUGCAGCAGGCAGAACUCACCUUCAGACACCAGAUCGCAGUUCAUGAGAAUAAUGCUCAGGACAACUGGAUCAAGCCUCGGAUCUGGGAGAGGGAAAUGGCAGAGCAGAGCCGGGAGGUCGCCCGCUUGAAACACAG